rnacentral:rRNA from 1 species
UACAGAGGGGGCAAGCGUUUAUUCGGAAUUAUUGGGCGUAAAGGGCGCGUAGGCGGCUUGGCAAGUGGAUGGUGAAAUCCCUCGGCUUAACCGAGGAACUGCCGUCCAAACUGCUUCGCUUGAGACCGGGAGAGGUGAGUGGAAUUCCCAGUGUAGCGGUGAAAUGCGUAGAUAUUGGGGAGGAACACCAGUGGCGAAGGCGGCUCACUGGACCGGUACUGACGCUGAUGCGCGAAAGCGUGGGGAGCAAACGGG